CAUUCACAUAAAUGCAUAAGCUCUCUUGUUGUUUUUCCUCUUCCCCUCCUCUCCUCUGUUUUCAUGAAAGCAAAAUAAAAGCAAAUCAUUCUGAGCUUAACUUUACAGGUUGGGCCUCGUUUGGCACAUGCCAUAAUAGUACUAUUUAAUACGAAUCCGGAGAAACAGAGGUGGCAGAGGGGGAGGUGAGGACGAGCUAAUAAUAAUUUAGAAUAAUUGAUAAAAGAAGAGGAUGGAACUUCUGCAGCUGUUCGUGACGGCCUCAAUUCCGGUGUUGAAAGUGCUUUUGAUAACAGCACUUGGCUCUUAUCUUGCUCUUGAUCGUGUCGAUAUUUUGGGGGAAGUUACUAGAAAGAACUUAAACACUGUUGUAUUUUAUGUGUUCAGUCCUGCUCUCGUGGGUUCCAACCUUGCGAAGACAAUUACAUAUGAAAGCAUGGUUAAAAUGUGAGUUGUAAUUACUUUGUUCGAUCUACAUAUAUACAUACAUGUAUAUAUAAUCAUGUGA